rnacentral:tRNA from 1 species
GAAGACAUAGCUCAGUUGGCAGAGCACAUGCUUAGGAUGUACGAGGUCCUGGGUUCAAUCCCCAGUACCUCCA